rfam:Sorghum bicolor cultivar BTx623 chromosome 10, whole genome shotgun sequence.
AUUCCAUGAUAGGGACAUUCUAGGAUGUAGUCUUGAAAGCGCUCCCAUGCUUCUGGAACAGAUUCAUCAUUUUGUUGCUGAAAACUUGUAAUCUUCCCACGGAGAGC